CCUAAACCUGACCCUAACACUAACCCUAACCUUAACCUUUGCUUACCUUUCAACAGUUUUCAGUGGUUAGCAGCUUCUUGACUCGCGAGACUCGCGUACGGGUCCGUGUCUGUCUGGCAAAUGGAAAGUGCCGUACCCGUAGGGCUACGGGUACGGGUCCGUAUCUGUAGACACUACCCUAAUCAAAACCACACAACUGAGACAGAAGCGAUGCAAACUAGCAUAAAAUGAUUCAAACUAGACACAAAAUGAGACACCAAAUGACAAAAAACAACACAAAAAGCAGUGUAAACAAGACACAAAAUAGCACAAAUGAAACACAAAUCACAACAACACAACAAAAAUCUGACAGAAAACAACAACAACACCUAAAAUACCAUAAAUGGGACAAAAAACUAUAGAAACGGGACACCAGAUGACACAAAUUAAACACAAAACAGCAAAAACUAGGCACAAAAGUGAUCCAAACUAGAGACAAAAAACAUGACACAAAACAACACGAAGUGGGACACAAAACAACACAGCACACAAACAAGACAUAAACAACAAAGACCAGACUCAAAACAGCACAAGACAAAAAAAACACACAGAAAACAACAAGACACAAAGUUCUAUAAAUGGAACAAGAAAACAACACAAAAGAACACAAAAAAAGACGGAAAAUGACAAAAAUCUGGGACAGCGAACGACAAAACGCAAGACACAAAACAGCACAAAUGGGACACAAAUUGGAACACAAAACAAUAAAAAUCAAGCAAGAAAUUACACAAACGAGGCACAAAACAAUAACAAAAAAACACACAAAAUCGCACACGUAAGACACAAAACAUCGCAAACUAGGCAUAAAACGGUACAAAGUAGGCAAAACAACCCAAAAAAGCAACACCAAGCAACAAAAAGGAGACACAAAACAAGAUAAAACGACCUAACUGAGACACAAAACAGAAACAAGACACAAAAUGACACAAAUGAGAUAUAAACGAUGCAAACUCGACAAAAAAACCCCAUUAAAAACAAGAGACAAAUUGCAACACAAAACAGCAAAAAACAUGACACAAAACAACAAGCCACAAGCUGCGUGUCGCAAACAGGACACGAGAUGACACAAGUCAAACACAAAAUGACGCAAAACGACAAAAACGAGACACCAAACAACACAAAUUGAGGCACAACAGGAAACAAACAAGACAUGAAUCCCACAUCAUGAGCAGCUACGUGUCAGUGAGCGUAUCUGCACAUGUAGGUGGGCAAACAUGAGCGACACACAUUUCUCAUUUCUGACUGCAGUGCUGUUUGCGUGUCUGAGCGCUGGGUUCUCUGCAGGCCGGUUCUAAUGAGAUCCCCGGGGCUGAACGCAGGCUGCCUGUAAAACAACAGAUGUGACUGGACUCGCUCAGCCUCCCCCAGUGGCUGACAGAGCUGUCACUCAGCGGGGAGGGGGAGGGAGGAGGACUGACGGGGGGAGGAAGAGGAGGGUGAGGUGGUCAUUUGGUCCGACGCUCGACGCCGCCGCCGCUCGGCAAUCCUCCAAACCAGAUCCAAAAUGUCAGCCGUGGAGAUGCGAUGCCGAAGAUGAGAACCCGGUGCUUCCAAGCAGGCGGGGAAACCUAAUUCGGGAUGCAAUCUUUCACCUGUCUUCCUCGUGCAGGUCCGGAGAGAGCGCCAGACGGGGGGAACUGGCAGUCAAAUGGUAGCGCAGAGAGCCAGGAACAUCACAAUAGAGGGUUUGUGCGAAGGGAAAAGAGCAAAUGGUGUGGUCCCGGGCAGCCAGCCACUGCCCCACUGCGGCUCAAUAGACGUCUCAUUGUGCUUCCUCCAACAGGAACCUGCUGCAGAAACCUGUUGCUGUGCCGCAUGCAGGCCAGAACAGGAGUAAACGAAGGUGGAGGCAGAUACAGCUGCUUCUCUGCUGUUUAAAUAGAUAGAAAAAACAGAAUCCGAAUCGACAAUUUGCACUUCGUUUCACAAGGAUGUGUGGAAACUUCCAGAUUUGCACAUUUCAUUGUUGCGACAGAAUGCAAUUUUGAAAUAAAAGCGAUCCAUUGCA